rnacentral:rRNA from 1 species
UACGGGGGGGGCAAGCGUUGUUCGGAAUUACUGGGCGUAAAGGGCUCGUAGGUGGCCAACUAAGUCAGACGUGAAAUCCCUCGGCUUAACCGGGGAACUGCGUCUGAUACUGGAUGGCUUGAGUUUGGGAGAGGGACGCGGAAUUCCAGGUGUAGCGGUGAAAUGCGUAGAUAUCUGGAGGAACACCGGUGGCGAAGGCGGGUCUCUGGGCAACAACUGACGCUGAGGAGCGAAAGCAUGGGGAGCGAACAGG